rnacentral:rRNA from 1 species
UAUUGGUCAAUGGACGAGAGUCUGAACCAGCCAAGUAGCGUGAAGGAUGACUGCCCUCUGGUUUGUAAACUUCUUUUAUAUGGGAAUAAAACAGGGUAUGCAUACCCUCUUGUAUGUACCAUAUGAAUAAGGAUCGGCCAACUCCGUGCCCGCAGCCGCGGUAAUACGGAGGAUCCGAGCGUUAUCCGGAUUUAUUGGGUUUCAAGGGAGCGUAGGCGGGUUGUUAAGUCAGUUGUGAAAGUUUGCGGCUCAACCGUAAAAUUGCAGUUGAUACUGGCAGCCUUGAGUACAGUAGAGGUAGGCGGAAUUCGUGGUGUAGCGGUGAAAUGCUUAGAUAUCACGAAGAACUCCGAUUGCGAAGGCAGCUCACUGGACUGGUCACUGACACUGAGGCUCGAAAGUGUGGGUAUCAAAC